UUCCGGUUGAUCCUGCCGGAGAUCACCGUUAUCAGAAUUCGAUUUAGCCAUGCGAGGCGCGAGCUAUUUGGGCUCGCCGAACUGCUCAGUAACACGUAGCUAACCUAACCUCAAGUGGAGGAUAAACUUGCGAAAGUGAGGCUAAUACUCCAUAGCUGUUGAAUGCUGGAAUGCGUCAACAACCAAAGCCACGGCGCUUGAGGAUGGGGCUGCGACCUAUCAUGGCUGUUGUGAGUGUAAAGUACUCACAAACCUGUAACGGGUAGGGGUCAUGAGAGUGGGAGCCUCGAGAUGCCUUCUGAGACAUGAAGGCAGGUCCUACGAGACGCAGCAGGCGCGAAAACUUUCCAAUGGUUUAACGACUGAGAAGGGAAUCCUGAGUGGUUGUACUAUGUACAAUCUUUUAUUUUGCCUAAAAAGCAAGAUGAAUAAGUGGUGGGUAAGACGGGUGGCAGCCGCCGCGGUAAUACCCGCGCCACUAAUGGUGAUCGCGAUUAUUGGGUCUAAAGGGUCCGUAGCCGGUCCAACAAGUUCUUGGUGAAAUCUACUAGCAAACUAGUAGGCUUGCUGAGAAUACUGCUGGUCUUGGGAUCGGGAUAGGAUAGGGGUAUUCUUUGGGUAGGGGUUAAAUCCUUUAAUCCAUGGAAGACCUCCGGUGGCGAAGGCGCCUAUCUGGAACGAGUCCGACGGUGAGGGACGAAAGCGUGGGGAGCAAACGGGAUUAGAUACGGACUUUCUAAUCCAAUGAUGCCAAAGAUGAUUGGAAUGUUUGCUAGAAACCCCGAUAGUCCACGCUGUAAACGAUGCCCGCUUGAUGUUGCAAACUUUACGAGAGCUUGCAGUGUCGGAGCGUAGGUGUUAAGCGGGCCACCUGGGGAGUACGGUCGCAAGAUUGAAACUUAAGGGAAUUGGCGGGAGAGCACACAAGGGGUGUAGGCUGCGGUUUAAUUGGAUUAAACGCCGGACAUCUUACGAGUGUUGACAGCAGAAUGAAGGUCCUCCUAAUGGGCGUACCAGACAAGCUGAGAGGUGUUGCAUGGCCAUCGUCAGCUCGUACCUUGAGGCGUGCGGUCAAGUCCGUUAACGAGCGAGACCCAUGCUGUCAUUUGCCAUCACAUUUUCAGAUAAUAUCAAAAAAGUGUGAGCACUAUGACAGGACCGCUAGCGAUAAGCUAGAGGAAGGAGUGGGCGACGGUAGGUCCGUAUGGCCCGGAUACACUCGGCUACACGCGGCCCUCAAUGGUUGAGACAAUGCGUUGCAACUCCGAAAGGAGAAGCUGAUCGCCUAAACUCAACCUCAGUUCGAAUUGAGGUCUGAAACUCGGCCUCAUGAAGCUGGAAUCCCUAGUAAGCAAACGUCAUAACCGUUCGCUGAAUACGUCCCUGCUCUUUGCACACACCGCCCGUC
rnacentral:rRNA from 1 species